GUGGCCCCAAGUCAGGCGAGACCCACCCGCCGAGUUUAA
rnacentral:rRNA from 1 species